rnacentral:rRNA from 1 species
GACGAACGCUGGCGGCGUGCCUAACACAUGCAAGUCGAACGGAGCACUUCGGUGCUUAGUGGCGAACGGGUGAGUAACGCGUGAAGAACCUGCCUUUCAGUGGGGGACAACAGUUGGAAACGACUGCUAAUACCGCAUAAUGUUAUUUGAGGGCAUCCUCGGAUAACCAAAGAUUUAUUGCUGAAAGAUGGCUUCGCGUCUGAUUAGCUAGUUGGUGAGGUAACGGCUCACCAAGGCGACGAUCAGUAGCCGGUCUGAGAGGAUGAACGGCCACAUUGGGACUGAGAUACGGCCCAGACUCCUACGGGAGGCAGCAGUGGGGAAUAUUGGGCAAUGGGCGAAAGCCUGACCCAGCAACGCCGCGUGAAGGAAGAAGGCCCUCGGGUUGUAAACUUCUUUUACCAGGGACGAAUAAUGACGGUACCUGGAGAAAAAGCAACGGCUAACUACGUG